GCAGCCACUGUUGUACAUAAUUAGGAUAAACCAUUGCUUACGAAAAAACAAUUCUGAAUUCCUUUUUAGUUGAUAAUGAUGCUUUGUUAACGAUAUAUGCCAUUUUACAGUAAAAAAAAAAUAAUAGGCUUUAUAUAUUUUCUUUAAUUAUAUUUAUUUAAUGUUGUACCGAUUUUCCCAGUUUUCCUAGUGUUCCUAGUGUUUUCUCAGUGUUCCCAUGUUUUGUCUCAGUUUUUCACAUUUACUGAGAAAACUGAUAAAAUCGAAAAAUUACCUAUUUAAAGUACCUCCCCAAAGAAAUUUCUUUUUAGAAACAUUGCUAUCAUUAUAAGUUGGAGCAAAAUUUAUUGCUGGUAGAAAAGUUAUACACAGGAAAAAACAUUGUAAUAUUUUAGUAAUAUAUUACGGACAUAUUCCCUUUUCAUAAAUUUUUAAAAUUUAAUGAGAACUCUUGAGAAAAAUUGAAAAAUCACCUCCCUAAAGUACCUCCACACACUGAUUUCCUUUCAGAAAAGGUGCUAAAUUUAGAAAUCUGAUAUUGUUAAUAUAUCCGAAUGUUGUUUUUAACAUUUAUUGAUAAUUGUAGUCUUAAAAAAACAAAAAAUAAGUUUUUAAAAAAUAGGUAUCUACUUAAAAAUAUCUGGUUGUUUUUGUUUUUUAAUCCAUCAAAAAACUGAACAAUUGCUGCAAUUAUAAUUUUCUCCACAGGCCAUCUAUAUUUUGAACUCCCUGCAAAUCAUUUUUUGAAACUGGGGCAUUAUAUUCAUGAGUUGACCGUGUGAAAGUUUUUUGUCUCUAAAAUAAUGCGCUUUAUGGUUUUAAAAUAUUGAGUUUUGAUAGUACUAGGUCAAAUAUAUUAUAUCUCUUAUUUAUUACU